rnacentral:lncRNA from 1 species
CUCCACCACGCGUGCGAGGAAGCACAGUUGAACUCGAGCAAGAGGAAGUCGCUGUCGCUGGCCGCUGGGGGAGUAGAUGACGUCGCCGUCGGAGCAACCACUGUCGGAGAAGACUUCAAUCUCGCCGCCGGUGGCGGCAACACCGCGAGAAGAUGUGGUCAACGCCGGUUAGGCCUUGAGCUCGCCGGCGGCAGCGGCGCCACGACAAGGAACAACUGUUUUGAAAGAGGACCCGAGCUCGGCGGCGGCGUCAAUGAACACCGCGAAAGCUGCAAUCUUGGAGGUCGGAAUCGGACAGGCUCCUUCGUCCUGGAACGACUUAUACAGAGAACCAAACGAGGACGCGCCAUCCAACUCCGGAUCCGAUUAGAUGCAGGACAAUAA